UACAGAGGUCUCAAGCGUUGUUCGGAUUCAUUGGGCGUAAAGCGCACGUAGGCGGCUUUUUAAGUCAGGGGUGAAAUCCUGGAGCUCAACUCCAGAACUGCCUUUGAUACUGAGAAGCUUGAGUCCGGGAGAGGUGAGUGGAACUGCGAGUGUAGAGGUGAAAUUCGUAGAUAUUCGCAAGAACACCAGUGGCGAAGGCGGCUCACUGGCCCGGUACUGACGCUGAAAAGCGAAAGCCAGGGGAGCAAACGGG
rnacentral:rRNA from 1 species